rnacentral:pre_miRNA from 1 species
AGUGGGAUAGCUGGAUCAAAUCUGGUUCCAUUCCAAAUUUUCUGAGGAAUCUCCAUACUGCUUGCCAAAGUGGUUGCACCAUUUUGCAGUCCCAUCGGCAGU